UCGCCUGUUUAUCAAAAACAUGGUUUCUUGAUUAUUUAAGAAAUCUGGCCUGCCCACUGAAAAAUUUUAAAGGGCCGCAGUAUUUUGACUGUGCAAAGGUAGCAUAAUCAUUAGUCUUUUAAUUGAAGGCUGGUAUGAAUGGUUGGAUAAGGUAAAUUCUGUUUUAUAUUAAUUUAAUUGAAUUUAGAUUUUAAGUAAAAAGACUUAAAUUUAAUUAAGGGACGAGAAGACCCUAUAGAGUUUAAUAAAUGAAUUAAUUGAUUAAGUUAAUAAGGAAUUAUUAAUUAUUAUGAAAUUUAUUUAAUUGGGGUGAUUAAAAGAUAAAAGUAACUCUUUUUUAAUUUUAAUAUUAUUAUUAGUUAUAAGAUCCAUUUUUAAUGAUUAUAAGAUUAAAUUACCUUAGGGAUAACAGCAUAAUUUCUUUUAAGAGUUCAUAUUGAAAAAGAAGAUUGUGACCUCGAUGUUGGAUUAAGAUUAAUUUUGGGUGUAGAUGUUUAAAAAUUAGGUCUGUUCGACCUUUAAAAUCUUACAUGAUCUGAGUUCAAACCGGAGA
rnacentral:rRNA from 1 species